UCGCCGCCUCCCUCAUCCUCCCCCUCGCGCCGCUGCUCCCCCUCGCGCCACGCCCAGAGCCUCUCACCUGGACAUGGCGACCAGGGCGCGCCGAGCACACCCGGCAAAGGCCACGGCUGCGCGUGCCAUCGCCAUCACCACCGAUGCCGGGGCAAAGGCCACGGCCGCGCAUCACCAUCUCCCGUAGGUCCUCGCCGCCGCCACCUACGCCGGCCGAUCCCGGCCUAUUCCGGCGGCUGCCAGCGGCGCGCAGCAUUCUCCCAUGACCGCCUCCCUCAGCUUCAUCCUUCCCACCAACCAGAUUUGUUGCGCUCGUCCUCCAGCGACCACCAGCACCACUCCCUCGUGGCUAGGGUUUCGGCCUCCGCGUCUUCUCCAGCACCGGCGACCCUCCCACGUGGCUCCGGCGCCAUCAAGGCUCCUCCGACGCCAUCAAGGGUGAGGAGGGUGAGGAGGACGAGGCCUGGCCAUGGAGCAGCAACAACGCAAGGUCAAGGAGAACCCAACACACCCCUGGCUCGAUCCAGGAGGAGGUUGGUGUUGGAGAACCUGAGAAUGAGAUGCAGCCAACCUCCAACUCACCCAUGUUGCUGCACCAACUUGAUGAAGGGACACCCCUUAGCCAUGGGGCAGCAGCAACUCAAGCUCAAGGCCUCCCUCUACCUCUAUUUACUAUAAUCAGGUUCUGAAGAGCCAAUGUUUGUUCAGUUCGUCGAGUCUUCGACCGUCCUGUGGACUGCUGCUACGUCGAGAUGUUGCAAGGCUUCUGGUCUAUGAGCUCUUGUUUUUUCCUUCCUAUCUAGCAGUCAAAUAUAUGUGGAUUAGUUGUUAUGUGCGGCUUCAGUUGUUUCUUAGAUGUGUUGGCUGCUCGUAUCUGGCUAAUGUUUUUUUAUGCAUUAGCUGCUCAAGGACGGUAUGGUCGGAUUCCUUUGAUGGAUUAGGGGAUCUACUUGGAUCUUUUGAUUUUUUUUGCUGCCAUGUGGGAGGAUUGGCAACAUGUCUAGAUUCCUGGCCCUUUUUUGUUCCUUCCUGAAUUUUUCUGUUGCUUAUGGGUUUGGCGUCGACUGUUGUUGUUGGCUAGGUUUAAAAUAUUUUGCCAGUCUCACUAUUGGUUUGGGUUAGUCCCCG